CCUACGGGAGGCAGCAGUAGGGAAUAUUGCUCAAUGGGGGAAACCCUGAAGCAGCAACGCCGCGUGGAGGAUGAAGGUUUUCGGAUUGUAAACUCCUUUUGUUAGAGAAGAUAAUGACGGUAUCUAACGAAUAAGCACCGGCUAACUCCGUGCCAGCAGCCGCGGUAAUACGGAGGGUGCAAGCGUUACUCGGAAUCACUGGGCGUAAAGAGCGCGUAGGCGGGAUAGCAAGUCAGAUGUGAAAUCCUAGGGCUUAACCAUAGAACUGCAGUUGAAACUGUUAUUCUAGAGUAUGGGAGAGGUAGGUGGAAUUCUUGGUGUAGGGGUAAAAUCCGUAGAGAUCAAGAAGAAUACUCAUUGCGAAGGCGACCUGCUAGAACAUAACUGACGCUGAUGCGCGAAAGCGUGGGGAGCAAACAGGAUUAGAUACCCCUGUAGUC
rnacentral:rRNA from 1 species